rnacentral:rRNA from 1 species
AUCUAUGGUCAUGCCACCCUCAACAAGCCUGAUGUCUAAUCUCAUGAAGCUAAGCAGGGUCGGGAUUGGUUAGUACUUGGAUGAGAGACCACCUAGGAAUACCAGGUGCUGUAGGCA